rnacentral:lncRNA from 1 species
UAUUUUUUAAAUAAAUUCCUGCAAUCAACAACAACAAGCAACACUUCAAUAAAUAAACAAUCAUUCAAACAGAAAAUUAAAUACUCUAACAACAACAAUCAAAAACACAAAUUAAAAUAGAAAAUUAAAUGAAAUUCAAGUGUUCAAUCCUAGCUAGCAUCUUGCAUUCUUGGCUUUCUUGCAUUAAGCUUUUGGAUUCUAUUCGAUCAAGACUCGGUCUCGAUAGUUUCCCCCCUUCGACUCGGAGUUUUCCAUCGGAACCUAUUGAGUAUUGAAGAAAAAUAAUACAAACAUUUAAUUAUUUAAAUGAAGAAAAAUAAUACAAACAUUUAAAUAAAGAAAAAAAAUAAAAGCGAAUAUAGUAAAUCUGACUCUAAAUGUAGUAAUAGUAGGAAGCCAAUCCUUUGUACAUAGUAAUGCUUCAACAAUAUCAGAUUUCAACGAUGAUCGUGAAUCUUCAAUUAUACGUCGACCCCAACUAAAAGCGUUCUCUGAAGCAACUGUUGAAACUGGUAUAGCAAGGAUAUCUAGUGUACAAAUCAAAGCAUUUGAAGUUGGAUUGCCUUCUUUCUCUUCAGUUGUAGUAGUGGCCACCUCAAUCUGAUAUGAAUUAAAUAUCUCUUUCAAUUUGUUUUGAAAUUUCAGCAGCUCUGUAGAAUAUGAAUUGCCAUAAAUUUCUUCAUAUCCUAAUUCUACAAAGUCCAUCUUGUAUCGUGGAUCCAAUACUAAACCAAUUGUCAAACAUACACCACACAAACUCCAAUACUUGUUAAAUUUGCUUUCCAUUAAAAGAGCCAUUGCACGGAUUCGACCAUCUUCAUGAUCCCUCCAACUGUUGAUAUAAACAUUGAUCCGAUAUGGACAAGUAUACUGAGAGCCAAAGAUGAUAUCAAUUUAUGCUACCCUGCAGGGCUGGAUUGCACAGUCAACGGUAGUAUAAAAACGAGCCUCUUAAGAGCAAAACUAUCACCGUCAGCCGUCGUUGAUCCUCUGGCUAUAGGAGUGUGGACAUGCCGUACCUCAAAGAUGACCUUCUGUCUAUGGAGAUUAAGAUGGGGCAAGCUAAAAACAUUCGAUAAAUUGAGGUCGUGGGGGAUAGUGGUUCCAGCAAAGUGUGUCCUAUGUGAUACAGUUGAGGAAACGACAGCUCAUUUAUUCUUCAAUUGCGAAUUCAGCUGGUCUCUUUGGAACGAAUUUAUAAGGUUGACAGAUAACGCACUAUGGAAACUUAUGGGUAUCACGGAAAUAAAGCUAGGAGAUAUAAGGGUGGGUGAUAUCAUGGAGGGGAUAUCCAAAUUCAGGAAGUCAGCACCAUGCUGGGGGCUACAUUGAAAUGCACUUGCAGCGUUUAUAUGGCACCUUUGGAGGGAGAGGAACCUACGACACAAGGAGGGACUCUCUCGACCGGUAAAAGUCGUGGCAAGGGAUUUUAUACGAGAUUUGGCUAUUAUCUAUGAUUAUCGCAUAUUUAAAAAAGCGCAUAGGUUAAGUUUGGAGGACACAGCUAUCAGAAGGUGGAAGGAAGCCUCGCUAUUGGUUACGGACUUACAAGCCGAGGAUUAACAAGUUAUACCUAUUCCACACAUCCUAUCGUACUUUUAGUUGUUUAAUUAAUUGUCUAUCUUUCUUAAUAUCGUAGAUUGUAAUUCCUUUUAUUUUACUUUUAAUAUAAAUCGCUAUUAAAAAAAAAAAAAAGAUAUAAACAUUGAUUCUGAUAAUAUCUUUGAAGUAAUAAUUUGUUGUUGGAUACUUUGUUCCAGAUAGUCUGUUAGUUAUCUUGUAAAAGAUUUUCAAACCAAGGUUCCGGAUGCGCCUCUGCGCGAUGCGCCGCCGCCUGGAGCAUCUGAGCAUAUGCGCUCAGAUGCGCCAGUGACAUUUUCGUAAAUAUUUAUAAAACUAUAGGAAAUUAAUAUUUUUUUAUAUAUCUAAAUUAUAUUAAUUAAAUUUUUUAGUUAAAAAUAUAUUGGAUAGAAAAAUUAUUAUAAUACAUCUAUUUAUUAAUUAUUAUAACACCCUAUAAUUCAUUGUAACACCAAGGUUUAAAAACCGAUUAAUCAUUUAGGGGUAUUUUCGUAAUAAUAUAACUCUAUAAAUGGCUAGGGUUUCUUUAAAUUUAUAAAAGAUAGGCUUUUAUAAAAAGAAAAUAAUAAAUAACCCAAGAGGCUUUUAAAAAAUAAUAACGUAAUGGGCUGGGCUGGGCCUUCUUUAAUACAUCUACAACAUAAAAAAUACUCUAUAAUAAUAAUUUAUUUAACCACACAUUUUUAGUCCCACAUCGAUAGAAUUCAAAAAACACAAAGAAGGUUGGUCUAUAAAUAAAGAUUCAUUUUGUCUAAAACAAAUAUGAAGUCUAAAGAGUGGGAGGAGCUUAUAUUAAAAAUAAUAUAACUCUUUUCAUGGACCAAUGUAUAAAUUUUUAUGCUAAAAAUUUAUAAGGUCUUAAAAUAAAUUUUUUUUGCCUUUUUUUUUAAAUAAAAACAAAACACUGUUUUAAGUUAUUUAAAUAACUUAAAACAGGCCUGGAUCCGGGUCGGAUUUUACCCGGAUCCGGCUAAGGGAGAUGGCGCAUCUCCCUCUGGGGGCGCAUCAUCGCAUAUGCACGCGCACCCGGAACCUUGUUUCAAACAAUUACAAAUCUUGGUCCCCAUUUCCCAAUCCUCAUUGCUUGGAGCAUCUUUGUAUUCUGGGUCUAAAUUACCUAAUCGGUCAAAUGCAUCUCUAACUUGCAAAGCAGAUUCAAACAUCAUAUAUGUUGAAUUCCAACGUGUUUCAGUAUCCAAACUUACCUAGUAUAAGAAGAUAAAUAAAAUCAACAAUUCAACACAUAUUAAAUCAGCAAUUAUUAAAUUACCUUUUUAUUGUCAGAAAGUCUAGUCUGGCUCAAUGCAAGUGUGAAUUUUUUAUUUCUAUAAACAGAGGAACCAAUGUAUUUGACGUUUUUCCUUAUUUUUUCAAUCAAAGACAAUAUCACAUCCAUUCCAUUUCUGACAAUAAGGUUGAUUAUAUGAGCAUAACAAGUUAACAACGUGUGUGGAAAAAAUCUUCAUUAAGAAGAAGAUAGUUUUUACUAUUCAACCAAGUUUUCACAGACUUGACCAUCGGUUCGUUAUUACUAGCGUUGUCCACGACAAUAGUGCAAAGCUUCUUGUCGAUAUUCCAUUCCAAAAUUUUGUGUUUUAGCCAAGAGGCUAGGACUUCUCCGGUAUGUGGACAUUCGACAAAGUUGAAAGCAAGGAUUUUUUUGUUCAACGUCCAUUUAUCAUCAAUAUAGUGGUUAGAAAUGCAACAAUAUCCAAGAUUCUGAUGAUUAGGAGCCCAUCAAUCUGUAGUCAAAGUAAUCCUAGAUGAAAGACCAUCCAAGAUAUUAUAUAGAUGGGUUUUUUCUUGGUUAUACACUUCCAUUAAAUCAGACUUCACAAUCACUCUAGAACGAAACUUGUAUGUGGGAGAAACAUAAGCUAACCACUGUUUAAAAUACUGAUGCCAGCCAUUAUGAAUGGGUAAUCAUGCAUGAUGCAUCGCAAGCAUUUUUACAAAUAAAGUCCUCUCAACUUGUAGAUCAAAUUUAUAACAUCCAAGAUUAUUUCCUGAAGUACUAUUUGAACCUGAUAACAAAGCUUGUCUAAUAUCAGCCCUUGGUCGUCGUCUGCAAUUUUUAAUGUGUAUGGCUAAAUGCGAAGUCCCUUUAGUACUAUCACCAUUUGUUUUGUGAGGGCAAUGCUUGCAUUGAGCAAUGACAGACCCAUCUGGAUUAAUCACUCUUGUAAAAUGUUCCCAAACAGGAGAUGUCAAACAUCUUCUUUUUCUUGGAUUAUUAACACUAUCAUGAGUAAUUGCAUCGGUAUUUGAAGAUAAGAUAACUAAAUCAUCUUCAGGUGGGAAAAUAUUUUCUUCAGCUACAUUUUUAAUACAAUCCAUCGAACCCUAAUCUACAAAUCUGCAGUGAAAUAGAAAGAUUAGAUGAUAAAAAUUAAUGCGACCCAAAACCCCUAUAAAACACGACGAAAUCUCAAAAAGAAAACCCUAGAAUAACAGUUUAGAUCAUACACCAAGUAAACAAACCAAGAAUGGAAAUAAAUGCAAAUGUAUAUCUUUGUGGUUUUGUUUACCUGAGAAAUAAACAACGGCGGAGCAAGAGACUCGACCAGCGAGAAAUCCUCUUCUUCUUGAGGCAAGAUAGGAAUUAGGAAGGAAGAGAAAGAAUCUUCAAUAUUUGGGCGCCGACGGAGUGGGGGGGGAGAAGAACCCUAACUUUAAAAUAUUUUAAUUUUUAAGUGGGAGACACCAGACACGGGACUACGGAGUCUACGGGAGUGUUAAGUUAGUGAAUAAGUUUAUUAAUAUUUUAAGUUUUUAACUUUUAGAUUUAAUAAGUUAAUAAGUUAGGUAAUUACUAAUUAGUUUAAGAGUUAAGAGUCUUAACUUAAGACUUUAAGUGUUUAAGUGUUUAAGUUUAAUGAUUAAUAUUAUUAUAUUUAUCCGGAUAUUCGGAUGUCCGAAACCGAAAUUUUUAAACGUAUUUUAUCAGCGGAUUUUUCGGAUAUCCGAAUCCGACCGAAUAAAAUCCGGAUUUCAAUUCAAAUAUCCGAAUCCGAAAAAUCCGAAUCCGAAUAGUCAUAUUCGAAUUCGAAUACGGAUUUCGGUAUACCAUUUACAGACUUAGGCCUCACAACCUUCUCUAUAGAAAGUCAUCACACUCACAUCAUGAGGGUUGUCCAUCACCCAUGAUGUGAGUAUAAAUAUGAUGGACCUCACUUGGGAAGGCACUUUUUGCAUUAUUAUUUCCUCAAGGUAUUAUUUACCUCUUUUUCUGGAUCUACUUUAUUUCUACUGUUCUUCUUAAUUCUCUCCCGAUUUAUUGGCUAUUUCCUCCCAUUCUAGUUUUAAUCUCUCUUGUUCUUCUUAGUGAAGUCCAAGAUUUACACCCACACUAUUCUCUAUCCGAUUGAGAAUCAAUAUUCUCACUCGUUCCUCACUGAUUUGCAGUAACUUCUACAUUACAAUCCAUUCCCAAUAUCACAUCGAACUCCUUCUUUGCAAUGGUAUCAAAUCUGCUUGCAGUCGUUGUUCCCCCAUCACUACCUCGGUCAUCGGAAAAUAAUUUGUUUGUAUCGUGUAUCCGCCCAUUGGUGCACGCACCUUCAAUGACACUCGUAGUUUGAUCGGUUGUCGUUCCAAUUGCUUGGCUAGGUCCUCGGCUAUAAACGAAUGGGUUGAGCCGGUGUCAAACAACACUCGGCCCACAUGACGAUCGAUCACUACUUGACCUAUCCAUAUUGACACACCAUCCACAAGUCGUCAUUCAUCAUCAGUCAAGAGUUAAUCAUCAUUAUUUUAUUUUAUUUUUUUCAAAUUUAACAUAACAUAAAUAAAGUAAAAUAAAAUAAAAUAAAUCAAAUACUCAUUCAUACCGGUUACGACAUCGUAUUGUUUCUCUGCCUCUUCCCCGGCUAGUGUGAAAGCCUUGGCGGUUGCAUGCUUCCUCUGUGCCUCUGCCUGCUUAUGUGGACAGUCGCGCACCCGGUGUCCCAUCUUCCCACAUGAGAAACAUCCUCUGGUCACGCUGCGACAUGCCUCCCCCGGAUGAUAGUUGGAACAGGUCUCACAUUUCCAACUGCUUCGCCCCCACCCGAACUUGAUGGUGCCUCAAUUCUAACUCUCUUAUUACCUCCUGUCUCAGUUACCUUCCUCUUGUUUUGGCCUCUCACAUAAGCCUCAUCUAGCCGGUGUGCAUCAUCAAUGGCAACAUCCAGAGUGGUGGGCUUGCUUGCGAGUACUCUCAGUUCCAAGUGAAACUCCAAACCUUGGAUGAAUUUCCGUACUCGAUCGUCUUCCUGCGCACAGAGUUGGGGAAAAUAUUUCUCUUCCUGGAUGAACUUGCCCGCGUAUUCAUCCACAAUCCGUGCUCCCUGCACCUAGUCCCUGAACUCAUCCUUCAUUUUUUCCCGUUUGUGUAACGGAAAAUACUUCAUCCUGAACUCCUCUCGGAAUUCUUCCCAUGUCACCUCAGUACUCCCUCGAAAACGAAUGUCCCGCGUACUAAUCCACCAAUCGUGGGGGCAUCCUCUUGCAGUAGGUAAGUGCCGAAAUCCACCUUGCGCUCUUUUGGGCACACGAUUAGUCUAAAAUUAGUUUGGACUGCCUCCAACCAGUUUUCAGCAUCCUUCAAUUGGUCACCUCCUAGGAAUAUCGGUGGCGCCACUUUCAUGAAGUCCAUCACCGUGAUAGGCUUAGCAGUUAACAUCCACUGGUGCUUGCACCGGGUUAGUUUUUCAAGCUCGUACCAUCUGCAUCAAUUCAUAAAAUACAUAUAAUACCCAUAUACCACAACUGUUAUUUCCUUAAACUAUGAAUUCUUUUAUUUCCCUUAUUACCCCUCCUUUACUAUAACACUAUUUAAACCCAAUACCCUCUUUUUAAAACCCUAAUUAUUUUCUGUCUCUUUCUCAUCUCUUUGACCUCACCUCGUCGAAACCGCCGCUGACCUCACCGGAGCUUUACUUUUUUGGUUGUUUUUCUCCCCCCAAUCUGCUCUCCUACUUUUUUUUUGAAGCAAUUAAAUUUCAUUAAAAAUAAGGCUAAUGCCCAGUUUACAAAAUAGAGUAUAAAAAUAAAAACAGAAGUAAAAAGAAAUGAGCAAGAAGCUCAUUGACUCUCUCUCAUUAGCUAUGUAGUCUAGUUAUAUAGUAACUAGAUACGUUGCCUUAAGAGGUUGGUCUCUCAUACUUCCAUCAUAGAUGUCUCCAAAGGGUGACAACAGUUCUUGUAAUACACUCAAAGGAGAGACUGAUGUCUUUAAUAACCUCUUUAAGGAUUACCUCAGGAGGCUCUACUCUCCUACUUGUGGUAAGGUUUUCUUCACUUUUUUGAUCAUUUUCCCUUCCUUCAAACCGUCUGAAAAAGGAAAAAAAGAUGGCCGGAAUCCGGCCUGUUUUGUCGGAUUCUGGUCAUCCUCGAUUUUUUGUGUAAUGAUAUUUAUGUGCAUAUUUUAUUCUAUAUUUACAGGAUUUAAAAAAAUUAUAUAGGGGUAUAUAAGCAAUUUUCGUAAAAAUGCCACUGACGCUUUAAGCGCUAUAAAGCACGCUAAAAUGCCCGAGGCGGAAAAAGUGCUUCCUGGAAAAUGGAAGCACUUUCCUCUUUUUUGAACCAUGGUUCUGCCUGCGUAAGACAAACAUCUCCCUUUCCAUCUGGCUAGCAUUUUUUCUAUUGGAUUUAUCAGCUUCCAACAUGUUGCAUGAGAUGUCUUUCUUCCUGUCAUGGGGGGACCAAGAUAGCUAAUAGGGAGGGAUUUAAUUGGGAAGUUGAGAAUGUUAUGAAGAGAAUGGCCAUUCAUGCAUAUUUUUUAGUAGGUUGCUGAGCUCUUCGAUCUCCUGAUUAAUCUCGAAGCCUGAGAAUUUGGAAAAAAUCUCUAGAAUUUGUUUGAUUGUUUUAGAGACUUGGGAUUUGCCUUUGAGAAGAUCAGCACAUCAUCUGCAUAGAUGAGGUGUGAGAUGGAAACCGCUUCAUUCACGAUAUAAGUAUCCAUCCUCUUAUCCUUGAUCUCUUUCUCUAUUAGUCUGCUAAGAUUAUCCAUUACCAGGUCGAAUAAGAUAGGAGACAAUGGGUCCCCCUGCUUGAUUCCUCUAAAAUUAGUGAAAGGGGGAGUGUGAGAUCCCUCAACCAAUACCGAGAAGGAGGCUGUCGAUACAUAGUUAUGUACCAAUUUACACAACAGAGGGUUGAAUCUCAUUGCGUCAAGGGUGUGUGUGAUUGCUUGCCAUUUCACUGUAUCGAAAGCCUUCUUGAGGUCGAUACUUAGGCAACAACUUUGGGGGUUCUAAUUCUCCCGAAGCCAUGUACCAUCUCGUUUGCUAAGAUGGUGUUUCCAAGGUUCGGGAUGCGCCUCUACGCGAUGCGCCACCACCUGAAGAAUUUGAGCUUUUGCGCGCAAAAGCACGUCUUUGCACCAGUGGCAUUUUUGUAAAUAUAUAAAAAUAAGGGAAAUUUAUAUAUUUUUUAUAUAUCAAUCCUAAAAUACAAGCAUGCCAAUAACAUAAUCAAUUAAAUUUUUUAGUUAAAAAUAUAUUAGAUAGAAAAAUUAUUAUAACACCCUAUAAUUCAUUGUAACACUAUAUUUAUUUAACACAUGUACACUUUAUUUAGUCCCAUAUUGAUAGGAUAUAAAAAGUACAAAGAAUUCUAUAAUUUAUUUAACACAUAUACACUUUAUUAAGUCUCAUAUUGAUAGAAUUCAAAAAUACAAAGAAUACUUAAUAAUUUAUUUAACUACACUUUUUUAGUCUCAUAUCGAUAGAAUUCAAAAAGUACAAAGAAGGUUGGUCUACAAAUAAUGAUUCAUUUUGUCUAAAACAAACAUGAAAUCUUAUGAGUGAGAGGUGCUUAUAUUAAAAAUAAUAUAGCUCUUUUCAGUUUUCAUGGGAGUUGGGAACAAUGUGGGGGAGAAGAGAAACCCUAGGGAGAGUUUUGCAUUUUCAGAAAGUCUAGAAACGCAAAACCCUGUCUGUUUUAAUUUAAAUAAAAAAAACAGACCCGGAUCCGGCUAAGGGAGAUGCGCCUGGCGCAUCACCCUUUCAGGUUGCAUCCGCGUAUAUGUGCGCGCAUCCUGAACCUUGGUGUUAUCUGAGAUGUUUCUUCCCGCUAUGAAAAUUGUUUGGUGAGGGGAUAUUAACUCAGAGGAGACCUUGGAGAUUCUGUCAGCUAAGAUUUUAGUGAGAAGUUUGUAAAUUAAGUUGAAACAAGAGAUUGGCCGAAAGUCUGAUAGUUCAGUAGCAGUGGUUUUUUUUGAGAUUAGUGUGAUAAAGGUGUGAUUGACCAAUUUCAAUAUGGGUUUGCCGUUGAAAAACUGUCUGACACAAGUUAGGAUUGUUUGCUUUAGUUUCGGCCAGAGAGCUUUGAAGAAGCCCACUGUGAACCUGUUUGGUGAGGGGAUAUUAACUCAGAGGAGACCUUAGAGAUUCUGUCAGCCAAGACUUUAGUGAGAAGUUUGUAAAUUAAGUUGAAACAAGAGAUUGGCCGAAAGUCUGAUAGUUUAGUAGCAGUGGGUUUUUUUGAGAUAAAGGUGUGAUUGACUGAUUUCAAUAUGGGUUUGCCGUUGAAAAACUGUCUGACACAAGUUAAUAUUGUUUGCUUUUGUUCCGACCAGAGAGCUUUGAAGAAGCUCAUUGUGAAACCAUCAGGUCCUGGGGAUUUCCCCAUUUGAAAUGCGAAUAACGUGGAUUUAACUUCCUCCUGUGGGUUGUUGAGUCAACCAUAUGUUCAUAUCUUGAGAUACAAUCCUAGGGAAAAUAACGGGUGUUGGGAUAUCUGAGAAGGGAGGACACUUGCUUCUCUGUUUGUGGUUAGCCUCCUCAUUUGUGAGUUUAUUGACUAACUCCUCCCGUUUCUUUUUGACCUCUUCUUGGAUAGAAGGGGCUAUUGGGUUGGUGUUUAGUUGCUUCAUUAAGGAAUCAAGUUCCUCCCUAGUGGUUGUGAUCUGUUUUGCAUCACUACCCUUGGCCGCCGCUCAUUCCUUUGUAAGUAAUUUGACCUUUUUUAAUUUCUGUUGUAGGCAAUAUAACCCAUUGCCGCAGAUCGGCUUAGCUAGUCCUCUCCUGGCUAGGUCGAGAAACUCUUGCUCCUUCAACCAAGAAUCGAACAAUCCGAAAGGAUUUGGUUAAUGUGCCAUUUGUGCAAUUGAGAUAAACAUUACAGCAUGGUGACUACACGAGCUAUUCCAAAACUCUACCCUUAUCUCUGGGAAGAGUGAAAUCCAAUCUUGAUUCGAGAAGUGCUGACACAUGACUGUACACCAAUCACUCCCGUCAACAGGGACUAGGGUUCCGUUCGCUAUAUAUCGGACCCCCGGAAGGCUCCCACGAAAGCGAAACUAAAGUCUUCGUCGAAGACCCGAAUCAACUCUUCAAAUCGCUGAUUUGGGCGGCAAAUCGCCAGAGUCUGGCAGACUGCCGAUCUUCUCCUUUGAACUUGCCGAUUUCGUCCCCAAAUCGCCAAUUAAGUGAUUCAAGCGCUCGAGUAAUGCAAACAAACGGUUGUUCGUCGCUUCAUUGGUAGAGGUUACAAGGACCCCAACCAUAACAUUGUUGAGGUUUAUGUAGAAUUAUUGGGAGUUAUAAGUGUUAAUGGAGACUAUUUAAUUGGUACCCUUAUUGGGCCAAUUAUAAGUCAUUAACUUGGAAUGGGCCCAAGUUAAUUUUGACACUAUAUAUAAGCUAUUAAACAAUGAUGAAAACCUAAUGUCAUAUAAUGGUGAUACAGUAUCUCGAACCCGGUCACAACUUACCAGCAACUAGAAGUCCGAAUAGCCUAAAAUGGGUUGAGGUACCUAUUCUAGGGUUGGGGAAGUCCCAAGUCGAAUCCUAGGAAGAUCAACUUUCCUGAGGAUCGACUUCCCUGGGAUCGACUUCUGAAUAAAGUCGAUCACCAGGAAAGUCGUUCCCCAGAAAGUCGAUCUCUGGAAAGUCGACCUUGGGCCUCGAUCUGAUCAGUUAGGCAGUUAGGCGGUUACUGCCCAAAUGACCAGAUUACCCCCAUAAGAAUCCCUAUAAAUAGGAGGCAUCCCCCACUCAUUAAAGGCAGGUCAUUUGGAGUGAAGAAGUCCUAGCGAAGCGAAGCUCUGCGCACUUGAGUUCUGGUCCGAUUUCCCGCGGAGUUCCCCGCCUAGCGCUUGCUGGAGCGUCUUGGAGCACUGGUCGGGUUUCACCCUUAUCACAUAAAAUCUUGUAAUAAAAUAGCUACCAUCAAUAUAUCACCCGUGGAUGUACACCAUUGUUAAGGUGAAACCACUAUAAAACCUAGCUUGUUCUUCUUCUCUAAAUUUUCUUUCAUGCAACAAGAGAGUAGAGAGCCACCUUAGAUCAAUGAGGGAGAGUUCCAGAUCUGAAUCUGGAAAAGUGCAAUCAGUAAAUUGCAAUAACAAACGCCUUGCUGAUACAGAAGCUCCAAGUCGUACUCUUCCAGCAUCGAUUGUGUCAUUUUCCGAUCAAGGUUAAAGAAGGGGAGGAAGUAACUGUUAUAGCCCGAUUGGUCCUCUUAUAUUCACAAUUGGACCAAUCGAAUCUCUACAGCACACAUCGCAAAACCCCGCGACUCCUAUGACAUGGUUUGCAUGGGCACGUUCCACCUGUCCAGCUACGUGUCGAGAACUAGUUGAUGGGCUUGCACUAUAAAUAAUUGGCUCAGCAACACUCGAGAGGGCGGCUUUGGAUUACACCAUUUCACACUACUUUGUACCACUCCAUAUCGCACUCCAAUCUCAACCACCUCCUCAGAUUCCACCUUUGACAAUUUAUCUAUUUGUAACGGAUAUUCCGUUACAAAUAGUUUAAAAUCCGUUACAAUAUUUUCGUUAAAUUUGAUAUUAGGUAUUUUUAACGAAAAUUAACAAAGAUAACAGAUAUUCUGUAAACUUUGAUUAUAAGUAUUUUUAACGAAAAUAUCGUUAUCAUUGCUUCGUCCAAACUACCUACUAUUUAUUGUAGUGUUAGAAGAUAUUUUUUUUACUAUUUUAUAGAUUAUCUAUGAAAAUGUCCAUUAAAAUUUCAAAAUAACAUUGGAAAAAUUAAAUGAAAAUAAAUAAAUAAACAUUUACCUUUUUAACUUUAAAAAUUUAAUGUUUCCAUAAAAUAUCAACAAAUGAUGAUCGAACAAAAUUUGAUCUGUACAUCACAACCGCAAGUUUAGUAACAGAAUUUAAAUAAAAGACUGAAACAAGAAAAUCUAUGUCGUUGGACGAUCCACAAAAAAUUAGACACAAAUCAAUAUAUAUAAUCAUUAAUCAUUAUCAUUUGUAGAACGAUCCACAAAGAUCAACAGAAUGAUCUACUCUAGAACGAAAGGAAAUAUCAUUAGAUUUUCAGGUUUACCUUUGCAAGUUCACAUCUUUAGAGUAUCGACGGAUUUGACCUUUUACAUAACCGUUGCUCGAGUUAUGCAUAUGGAUGUUGGAGAUGUUAAAG